UCUUUGUAUUUCUUCUCUCUCGUGCGAAAAGGCGAUUGAAGAUGCGAUUCAUGCGAAAUUUGGGAAAAUCAAUCGAUUCACAUCGAAUUUGUUGAAUUUCCCGGAUUAAUCUGGAGGUUCAUGGUCACCGGAGGCGAUGGCUAACCAAAAUAGGCGUAACCCUAACUUAAAUCCCGGCUAAAGCUUUCACCUUCUUCGUUGAAUUGCGAGCAGAGAGGAAGGAAUCAUCAGCAGAGGAAAAAUGGUAUUGGAUAUUUUAUCGUGGAGCAUGAGAAUUCCUACUACAAGCAAUUGUUGGAGCAGAACAAGCAAAUUCAAGAGCCUGCAUAUAUUGAGAAGUGCAACGAAUUGUCUAAGCAAUUACUCUACACUCGUCUAGCUAGGUCAUUACCUUUUCAUUCUCUCUUUUUCUCUAAGCAUGUUUCCAAGGGCCAUGCUCUAGCCUCUAGAGUCAGUGUUGCUGAGAAUUCUUUUAUCGAGCUAUCCUUUUAUGCAUACUUUUGAAACAUCAUUAAUCUUCAGAUAAUACUGCUGAAAUGGAUUUGCAUUAGUUGCAAGUAGUCAACCAUUUUGCCUUAUAGACUUUGAUAGAACUGAAAAAGAUGUGCUUGAGAAAUUUGGUGUUAUCUGAUAGUACUUUUUGUUCUCGAUGGAAUUAAGUUGAUAAAUCCCUGAUGAUUCAGUUAGUCUCUGUGCCUAUUAUGUUUUAACAGUCCUGAUUACACAACUUAUGAUCCAUAGCGUGUCUUAGCUAUUAGUUUUGUAGAAAUUUGGCUUUUGGUAAUUUGCUAAUACUCACUCUUGUUAUGAAUUACAGCAUUCCAGGGCGCUACAAAUUUUUUUGGAAAGAAGUAGAGUACGCAAAGAACUUAAUGAAGAACAGAGCGAAUCUGAAAUUGAGACAACAGCAAUGUCGUUGGCAGAGGAUUCACUUUCGUAGCUUGUAACUCCCCUCCAUAUGAUUCCUCACUGAACUAUAUAUACUUCCUCCAAUCCAUUUAUAUUUUCAGUCUAUUCCUAAAACAGAGGUUUUGGAGCUAAGGGGAAAAAACCAUUUUUGGUAAAGCUCUUAAUAAAAGAAAUUGAGAAAAAUGCAUUUGAUACAAGAUUCAUCUUCAAAUUUUGUAAUAUAUGUGAACUAUUUUGAAUUUUGUAAAAUAUGUUUAAUA